rnacentral:rRNA from 1 species
UACGGAGGGUGCGAGCGUUGUCCGGAAUCAUUGGGCGUAAAGGGCGCGUAGGUGGCGGGACGAAGCGUGCGGUGAAAGCCUGGGGACUCGAACCCCGGGUCCGGGCCGUGCGAACUGUUUUUGCUUGAGCACUGUAGAGGCAGGCGGAAUUCCGGGUGUAGCGGUGGAAUGCGUAGAGAUCCGGAAGAACACCGGUGGCGAAGGCGGCCUGCUGGGCAGUAGCUGACACUGAGGCGCGACAGCGUGGGGGAGCAAACAGG